AUCGCUUCUCGGCCUUUUGGCUAAGAUCAAGUGUAAAAAAAUGACACAUUUUUCCUGAUGAUUGGCAAGGAUACAUUAGAAAGACUUUUUUAUACAGUAUAUAUUUUUAAAUUAUUGUUGUUCCAACUGUCCCCUUU
rnacentral:snRNA from 1 species